rnacentral:rRNA from 1 species
AUGCGAACAUCUCAUAGCAUCUGGCACGUAUUCCUUGUUCCCCUAAAUUUGCCGCCAUGGAUGUGCAUGAAACAAGAAAAUGUGAUGUUGUCCAUGUUGAUUCCAGGGCCUGAUGGUCCUGGUGAUGCAAUUGAUAUUUAUCUGCAACCACUUGUAGAGGAACUUAUUGAACUAUGGAACGAGGGUGUUGACACUUAUGAUGCAUCAACGAAAACAAGUUUCACACUGCGUGCAGCACUUCUGUGGAUGGUCCAUGACUUCCCUGGUUAUGCCAACCUCUUUGGAUAUAGCACAAAAGGAAAAUUGGCUUGUCCGGUAUGCCACAGUGGGACUUGUUCAUUAAGGCUUAAAAAAGGUGGGAAGUUCUGUUACAUGGGUCAUCGACGCUUUCUUCAUAAAAACCAUAGGUGGAGGAAAGAUAAAAAAUCUUUUGAUGGUACCAUAGAAACCAGAGAACCACCAACACCCUUAAUAGGACAAAAUGUGAUGGACCAAGUGGCUAAUCUAGAGGGGAUUAUCUUGUCUAAAGAUGCAAGUAAGAAGACAAAGGUGUCCCAUGAUGAGAGAGGAGAUAGCUGGAACAAAAGAAGUAUAUUUUGUAAUUUGCCAUAUUUCAAAACUCUUUUGUUGCGCCAUAACCUUGAUGUCAUGCAUAUAGAAAAGAAUAUAUGUGAUAGCAUCAUGGCAAAAAUUAUGGAUGUCAAAGGAAAAAUGAAGGAUAACAUAAAUUCUCGGCGCGAUUUGCAACUAAUGAAAAUAAGGCCAGGUAUGCAUCCGGACAAGGAAGGGGACAAGCCUACUUUUCCAUAUGCGCCUUUCACUUUGCUUCCACCCAAUAAGAUUUUGUUCCUUAGGUUUUUUAAGGACCUCAAAGUUCCAGAUGGAUUUUGUUCAAACCUUGGCCGCUGCACUAAUAUGAAAGAGAAAAAAAUUUCAGGACUGAAGAGCCACGACUGCCAUGUUAUACUAAAUCAUUUACUCCCUCUUGCACUACGUGGACUUGUUCCCCAGAAUAUUUAUGACCCACUGGUUGAGCUUUCACAGUUCUUUUGCAAAUUAAACUCCAAAUCACUUUCAGUAGAAGAACUUAAUGAAAUGCAGGCCCACAUACCUGUGACACUAUGUAAGCUUGAAAAGGAAUUCCCACCAUCCUUUUCUGAUGUCAUGAUGCAUCUGCCUGUUCAUUUGGCUAAUGAAGCUCUUGUUGGUGGACCUACAAUAUAUCGGUGGAUGUAUCUCUUUGAGAGACAAAUAAAGUGUCUGAAAUCGCUAGUGCGAAAUUUGGCACGACCUGAGGCUUCCAUUGCAGAGGGAUACAUUGCAGAAGAGUUCAUUACAUUGUGCUCUAGGUAUUUGGAUGAUGUCGAGACAAAGCAUAAUCGACCAGGCAAAAUCAAUGAUGCACCAGGGGAUGACAGCUAUUAUUUGUCAAUAUUCAAUCCGGAUGGAAGGCCAUCCGGUGGUCGUAAACCAAGAGAUCUUAAUCUUCUUGAAGCAGAGCAAGCUCAUAUUUAUGUUUUGAGAAAUUGUGAUGAAGUUCAACAAUAUAUCAGUGAGUACUCCAGUAGUCAAGAUGGAUGUUCACUACAACCAUUUACCACCAUGUGGAACCAGAAGUUCAAUCAGUGGUUCAAAGAGAAGGUAGCCAGCUUGCACGAACAUGAUAAGAGUGAGCUCACCGAAGACCUUUUGGCACUAUCACGUGGUCCAUUAGAAAAUGUAACAUGUUUUACUGGCUAUGACAUGAAUGGAUUCAGAUAUCAUGUUCAAAGUCGAGAUAGACACCUCUGCACACAGAACAGUGGGGUGGCUGUACUUUUAGAACAAGGGGAUAAUGGUAAUACAGUAGAAUAUUAUGGCAUAUUGACAGAGAUAGUCGAACUGCAAUACUUAGGUGGAAGGCGUGUGACAUUAUUCCGUUGCAACUGGAUUGACGUAUUUGACAAAGAGCAUGGGAUGAAGAAAGACAACAAGCAUGGAAUCAUAAGUCUUAACCUGCACCGUUUGCUUCUGACAUAUGAGCCUUUCGUUCUGGCUAGCCAAGUCUCUCAAGUAUUUUUUGUCAAGGACAAUCUUAUAAAAGGAUGGCAUGCAGUCGUGAAAAAUCCAUCACGUCAUGCUUAUAGUGUACGACAUGGACAGUCUGAUGAUGAAGCCUCUGAAGCUGAACCUGACAAUGGCGAUGAAGACGACUUGCUUCAAAAUUCAACAUCAACAUCACGUAGAAAGAGAACAACAUGA